rnacentral:rRNA from 1 species
CAGUAGCCACGGAAACACCGAGGGUGCGAGCGUUAAUCGGAUUUACUGGGCGUAAAGCGUGCGUAGGCGGCUUCUUAAGUCGGAUGUGAAAUCCCUGAGCUUAACUUAGGAAUUGCAUUCGAUACUGGGAAGCUAGAGUAUGGGAGAGGAUGGUAGAAUUCCAGGUGUAGCGGUGAAAUGCGUAGAGAUCUGGAGGAAUACCGAUGGCGAAGGCAGCCAUCUGGCCUAAUACUGACGCUGAGGUACGAAAGCAUGGGGAGCAAACAGGAUUAGAUACCCCAGUAGUCCCUGUCUCUUAUAC